rnacentral:lncRNA from 1 species
GGCAGGAUUAAUGUAUGAAUUUCAAAAUUUCAUUAACCAAAAACUGGAAUGCUAGAUUACAGUUGCUCAUUUGCUGUUAAAUUACUUAAAAAUGGCAGGAUUAAUUGAUGAAUUUCAUAAUUUCAUUCACCAAAAACUGGAAGGCUAGAUACACUUCAAAGUUCAAGUCUUCAAGAAUCAAGAUAUUGCAACAAAUAGACAAAGAGCACAAUUUGAAUCUCACCCAAAACAAGAAAAUGAAUUAAUAACAGAAGCAGCAUGCCGUCGGCUCAUUGCCGGUCGGAUUUUGGCUAAAAUAAAUGACUCAUCAACGAUUCCGAAAAUAGACUGAAGGAUGCCGUCGCUGGUUGGAAUUUUGGAGAAGUUGCAGACUAGCAGAGUAGUGUCGUUGCCUCGUUGGUCUAGGUAGGACUCAAGGUUUUGAUUUCUCAUCGUCACUACAGUGGAGGAGCCAAGACCGAGUCUGCCGUUUAUCAAGAUGAAGAUGAAGUUGAAGUUGGGUUUAAAAAAAGGGAUACAUAACAUUGUCCUAAAGGUACUUGAACAUUUUGUAUGGUAUGCUGCAGCGCGAGAAACUUGGCAAGAUUACUGGAAAACUCAGUCUACCCUGGCCUAGAUUCCAGAAGUAACCAACAUAUUUAUUUUCUUAUACUUUCAGAAACAAACUGGGGAAUUGUGCUCAGAAACUCUUGAUGCAUAAAUGUGAUAGAGAUGAUAUUGAUGAUAACUAGGAAUCUAAAGUGAGUUUAUUUUCUUAUACUUUCAACUGUGAUAAUGAAUAUCUGUUGAAAAUGCGACAUGGGUACUGAUGCUACCAAAAAUCGUACCUGUAGAUUUUUCGAGCUUGAUGACUGAUGAUGAGCACGAACGUGAUCUUCCGAUACCUGAAACAAAGGCAACGAGGUGUGUUCUCGUCGCCCCUCCGAUGCUUAAGUCAGAAAGGGAAAUAUAUGCGUGAGGCUAUAUGCUGAAGAACAAUGAGAAGAACGUACCUGAAUAAUGGUUCAAAGUUCUGUAUUUAUAGUAGUAAGUGACAUUCUCCUAAUUGGGCUCAACUAGCUGGAUGUCCUCAUCUGUUGGAGUCCUGAAUGGUUAAGGAGUUGGUUGAAUUCCAGAAUUAUGCGUGAGAUAGGACUCUUGUGGGAGUUAAGAUUCCUGAUUGCGUAGGAAUUCUAAAGGGUGAACAAUCGUCAGCAGUAAGGAGGAGCACAUUCCCGAGGACCAUGCCCGAGGACACAUGUUUGUAAUAUGCGAAGCAUGAUGGAGAUGUGGUCGGGCCUUGUGUCUCGAGGACGAACAUGCUCGAGGACCCCACAGAUGGAUUUACAACUUUACUAAGAUUAGUCCUCGGGAUAUACUGAUCGGGGAUAUCGUAAAAUGUCACCAUCAGGUACAAUCUCAAAAUAUUUUGAGUGGUUUAGAGACGUUACUUGAGAUUUUUUCCCUAUUGAUUGAUGCAGGGGGAAAUCGUCCAGAGGGCAUUUUGCACUCACUUGGAAAAUGUCCAGUCGGCUUCUGAUUCAAUAAAUGAGCUUGUUGCCUUGUUAGCUCUGUUUUGCCUCAGUUGUGCCAUUGUUUUCAAAUUCUCUGUUAGUCCCGCUUCUCCAUUUUCAAUUUAUUCGGGAUUCUGUGAAUGGUGAAUUAGGUGAGUGCGCAUGCAAUGGAAGUCAAGUAUGGCAGAAAAUUCAUCGCCUAGCCUGGAUCAUGCUACAAGGAAAAUGUUCACAUUUCCUAAUGCCAAUACCUGAGCUUUCUUUCAGUUUAGUUCGG